rnacentral:antisense_RNA from 1 species
GGGCAAAUGUUUUGAGACUGCCCAUGGAGGUGAGGCCUGUGGUCGCCAUGGAGUCCACCAGGUGCCACUUCGGAUAAACCCUUUGGACUCCUAACUCCAAUCAGGUGUCUGCUUUGUUGAGGACUCACAGACACAGUCUCCUUUCUUCAAGAUCUUUACAAUGCAAGACCUCACUAACACACAGGGGAUGGUCUCCCAGAGGGUCUGUGCUGUUCCUUCACUCAGAACAUCAAGAUGCACUUAAGUAAGGAUCCUCUGUUCUACGGUUCCUGCUAGCUGAGCUAUUCCAUGGGGGCUUCAGCAGGAAAUUCCAAGGUUGGCUUUGACAAGCUAAGGCCGGCUGGUGGAGCACAUCGAGUUCUGGAGGUUCAUGUGUGUUUUCAUGAAGAUCUGUCUGCCAGUAGCAGAUAAAGAGUUGUUGCCCCACUCCUCCUGGGGUCUUCUAUUUUCCUGGGAGGAAUUUCUGGAUUAACUGAACGCACACACACACACACACACACCCCUUUGAAGCAUCAACAGUAAUUCUGAGUUCUUAGGGACAAUGCAGAUUAAAUCCACAAUAAGAAAGACAACUAUGGCCAGGUGCGGUGGCUCACGCCUGUAAUCCCAGAACUUUGGGAGGCUGAGGCGGAUGGAUCACCUGAGGUCAGGAGUUAGAGACCAACCUGACCAACAUGGAGAAACCCCGUUUCUACUAAAAAUACAAAAUUAGCCGGGCAUGGUGGCAGGCGCCUGUAAUCCCAACUACUCAGGAGGCUGAGGCAGGAGAAUCGCUUAAACCCGGGAGGCAGAGGUUGCAGUGAGCCAAGAUCGCGCCAUUGCACUCCAGCCUGGGCAAGAAGAGCAAAACUCCAUCUCAA